UACGAAGGGAGCUUGCGUUGUUCGGAAUUACUGGGCGUAAAGGGCGCGUAGGCGGUUUGACAAGUCGGAUGUGAAAGCCCUGGGCUUAACCCGGGAAUUGCAUUCGAUACUGUCUCACUAGAAUUCGGUAGAGGUUGGUAGAAUUCCCAGUGUAGAGGUGAAAUUCGUAGAUAUUGGGAAGAAUACCCGUGGCGAAGGCGGCCAACUGGACCGACAUUGACGCUGAGGCGCGAAAGCGUGGGUAGCAAACAGG
rnacentral:rRNA from 1 species